rnacentral:rRNA from 1 species
UGCCCUGCUUCCAGGAAAAGCCUCUAAGCAUCAGGUAACAUCAAAUCGUACCCCAAACCGACACAGGUGGUCAGGUAGAGAAUACCAAGGCGCUUGAGAGAACUCGGGUGAAGGAACUAGGCAAAAUGGUGCCGUAACUUCGGGAGAAGGCACGCUGGUGUGUAGGUGAAGCCCCUGCGGGUGGAGCUGAGACCAGUCGAAGAUACCAGCUGGCUGCAACUGUUUAUUAAAAACACAGCACUGUGCAAACACGAAAGUGGACGUAUACGGUGUGACGCCUGCCCGGUGCCGGAAGGUUAAUUGAUGGGGUUAUCCGUAAGGAGAAGCUCUUGAUCGAAGCCCCGGUAAACGGCGGCCGUAACUAUAACGGUCCUAAGGUAGCGAAAUUCCUUGUCGGGUAAGUUCCGACCUGCACGAAUGGCGUAAUGAUGGCCAGGCUGUCUCCACCCGAGACUCAGUGAAAUUGAACUCGCUGUGAAGAUGCAGUGUACCCGCGGCAAGACGGAAAGACCCCGUGAACCUUUACUAUAGCUUGACACUGAACAUUGAGCCUUGAUGUGUAGGAUAGGUGGGAGGCUUUGAAGCGUGGACGCCAGUCUGCGUGGAGCCAACCUUGAAAUACCACCCUUUAAUGUUUGAUGUUCUAACGUUGGCCCCUUACCGGGGUUGCGGACAGUGUCUGGUGGGUAGUUUGACUGGGGCGGUCUCCUCCCAAAGCGUAACGGAGGAGCACGAAGGUUAGCUAAUCCUGGUCGGACAUCAGGAGGUUAGUGCAAUGGCAUAAGCUAGCUUGACUGCGAGCGUGACGGCGCGAGCAGGUGCGAAAGCAGGUCAUAGUGAUCCGGUGGUUCUGAAUGGAAGGGCCAUCGCUCAACGGAUAAAAGGUACUCCGGGGAUAACAGGCUGAUACCGCCCAAGAGUUCAUAUCGACGGCGGUGUUUGGCACCUCGAUGUCGGCUCAUCACAUCCUGGGGCUGAAGUAGGUCCCAAGGGUAUGGCUGUUCGCCAUUUAAAGUGGUACGCGAGCUGGGUUUAGAACGUCGUGAGACAGUUCGGUCCCUAUCUGCCGUGGGCGCUGGAGAAUUGAGGGGGGCUGCUCCUAGUACGAGAGGACCGGAGUGGACGCAUCACUGGUGUUCGGGUUGUCAUGCCAAUGGCACUGCCCGGUAGCUAAAUGCGGAAGAGAUAAGUGCUGAAAGCAUCUAAGCACGAAACUUGCCCCGAGAUGAGUUCUCCCUGAGACUUUAAGUCUCCUGAAGGAACGUUAAAGACGAUGACGUUGAUAGGCCGGGUGUGUAAGCGCAGCGAUGCGUUGAGCUAACCGGUACUAAUGAACCGUGAGGCUUAACCUU